GCCCAGCCGUAAACUUUAACUUACAUUCAAAUCGCCAGGGAACUACGAGCUAAGCUUAAAACCCAAAGGACUUGACGGUACCCCAUAUCCCCCUAGAGGAGCCUGUUCUAUAAUCGAUAAUCCACGUUUAACCUCACCAUUUUUAGUUAAUCAGCCUGUAUACCUCCGUCGUCAGCUUACCACGUGAGCGCCAAUUAGUGAGCUUAAUGUCUUUCACCAACACGUCAGGUCAAGGUGCAGCAAAUGAAAUGGGAAGAGAUGGGCUACACUUUCUAUAUUAGAAAAAACGAAAAACUACUUAUGAAAACUAGUUGGAAGGCGGAUUUAGCAGUAAAAAGGAAUCAGAAUGUCCGUUUUAACCCGGCACUGGGGUGUGUACACACCGCCCGUCACCCUCUUCAAAGCUUAUAACCUAGUUCUUAACAAACUAAAGCAUAACAGAAUAGGCAAGUCGUAACAUGGUAAGUAUACCGGAAGGUGUGCUUGGAAA
rnacentral:rRNA from 1 species